AAGUUCUUCCCUCUUUAACCUAUUCCCCCUAGGUACAAGCCAAACCAUUCAUGUAAUAGGUUAAGAGCUAUUUAAAGGGGGUACAGCCCCUUUAAAAAAGGAUACAACCUCAACCAGCGGAUAACCUACACCCCACUCCUCACUUCGUGGGCUUUAAAGCAGCCACCCCCAAAGAGUGCGUCAAAGCUCCACAAUCAAAAACUCCAAAAACACCCGACUCCCUGCACCCACAACAGGCCAACCUAUCACAAUAGAUGAAUUAAUGCUAGAACGAGUAACCAGGAUAACACAUCCCCUCAAGCGCCAACCUACAUACCAUUAACAGCACAACUACAAUGCCAAAUAGUAAACCACCCAGACCAAACAUUGAACAUACCCUGUCAACCCAACCCAGGAGCGCACAUUAGGAUGAUUAAAAUCUGCAAAAGGAACUCGGCAAACCCAAGGCCCGACUGUUUACCAAAAACAUAGCCUUCAGCUAGACAAGUAUUGAAGGUGAUGCCUGCCCAGUGACACCAUGUUUAACGGCCGCGGUAUCCUAACCGUGCAAAGGUAGCGCAAUCAAUUGUCCCAUAAAUAGAGACCUGUAUGAAUGGCUAAACGAGGUCUUAACUGUCUCCUGCAGAUAAUCAGUGAAACUGAUCUCUCUGUGAAAAAGCAGAGAUAAGCCCACAAGACGAGAAGACCCUGUGGAACUUCAAAAUCAAUAGCCACUAUACACCUAACUCACCAAACCCACCAGGCCCACUACCCAAAACACUGGCAAAU
rnacentral:rRNA from 1 species